ACUCAAAUGAAUUGACGGGGGCCCGCACAAGCGGCGGAGCAUGUGGAUUAAUUCGAUGCAACGCGAAGAACCUUACCUGGGCUUGACAUGCACUAGAAACCUGCAGAGAUGUAGGCCCCCUUGUGGUUGGUGUACAGGUGGUGCAUGGCUGUCGUCAGCUCGUGUCGUGAGAUGUUGGGUUAAGUCCCGCAACGAGCGCAACCCUCGUUCCAUGUUGCCAGCGGUUCGGCCGGGGACUCAUGGGAGACUGCCGGGGUCAACUCGGAGGAAGGUGGGGAUGACGUCAAGUCAUCAUGCCCCUUAUGUCCAGGGCUUCACACAUGCUACAAUGGCCGGUACAGAGGGUUGCGAAAUCGUGAGGUGGAGCGAAUCCCUUAAAGCUGGUCUCAGUUCGGAUUGGGGUCUGCAACUCGACCCCAUGAAGUCGGAGUCGCUAGUAAUCGCAGAUCAGCAAUGCUGCGGUGAAUACGUUCCCGGGCCUUGUACACACCGCCCGU
rnacentral:rRNA from 1 species